AAACUAAAGAUUACACAAUAAUUGCAGACCUACACAACUCAUUUACAAACCUACACAACUCAUUCACAAACCUUUUUGUGUCAAUUGGCUGUGGUCAAAAAAAGAGAGAGUCAACAAAUAGGCUAUUAAUAUUUAGUGUAUGAUUUAUUUCCUGUGAGCUUUUUUAUGCAAGUUUGUACAUUAGCAUGAAACUUACAGUGCAGUUUGCGUUUCUGGUGAAUUAUCAGGUGUUUUCUUUAUUUUGUACAUUCUAUAAUGUCAAUGUUUGUUUAAUUUAACCUGAAGGGGCAUUAAAAACAAAUAAUCGCAAAAGUGCCCUCUGGUGGCGUAAAUAUGCGUUGCACCAGAAGAUGAGCCUCGUGACGUGACAGUUUUUUUUCAAACUGAGGUGAGGAGUUCGGACUCCGGACCGGCAUUUCUGCUUGUUUGUACCCUGUCCCUGAGGUAAGUAAACUUUACAUUUUUGAAACAAUAUUACUGAAACAUUUAGUAUAAUUAGUUAAUAUUUAUUUUGUAAGAGUAGGUGUUGUGCUAAAUAAUGAUCCUAGAAGCUACAUUUAUAAUAUUUACCUCAGUUAAAAAAUACUGCUGGUAACGUUGAAGCACUGGCGGGCUUCGUCAACCGUCAGUUAUAAAAGCUCUGUUAAAUACAUUUUGUUCCGGGUUUUAAUGAAUUACGUUACAGUCCUGCUUUAUUUCUUUGUCAUUUUAAAUUAAAUUGCCAAUCACAAUAAGACAGCUGUGUUGUAAGGAGACGAAAUUCGAGACAGUAAUUUCAGUGAAGCGCGUGGUCAAAGGAACCGGGUGGAAGACGGUGGAAGGGAAAUUAUACAGUAUGUAAAUGUUUGUCGCAGUUUUACACAUAUUCCGUGAGUAUUUUUCGCUUGUUCACGACUGUUUUAUCAGGGUUGGAGCUAAACUCGGAAGGAAAGUGGAAACUGCUGGCCACAGUUGAGAACAUUCCGCCGGUCUGUAUUAUAAAUGCACGAUUGCAGUGCAGCGUUCGUAUCCGCAAUAAAUAACCAUGGUUAAUAAAUGAUCAGACACGUCACUGGCUUUAAAAUAUAAACCCCAUUGAUGCAAAAAGAUGCUGCAUGGAAUGACAAUGAGGUUUGGAACAGACUUGGUGAAGAACAUGGAAACAUCUCUAAAUAAAAUGGCCCCAAACAUCAUCAGGAGUGCAAAAGAAGGAAGUAAAAAACAUCUCUACGCCAAUCUCAUUGGAGAGAAAACCACAGAGGAACCCAAAGGUCCCACACCAACCAUAGUGUUCAACGGCUCUCCUGAUCUUCUCAAAUCUGAAAGUAUCAACUGUAUAAUGGACAAUGUGAACUUAAUAUGUGGAAGACAUUGACAUCACAGGCUGUGGAAUGACUGUGUCACAGGUCGGAGAAGCGGACCGCCCCUGUCGCGGAUCACGCUCCUCCUAGUUCCACCUUGAGGAGGUCCCAAAGCACCCCAAUGACCAGACAAACCAGAGAUAAGUAAAAUAUAAAAAUAGAAACUUUAUUUAAAUUAUUUAAAACUAAAGUGGGGAAUGGGAAAGGGAAUCUAAAAAUCUCCCUUCUCGCCCUCAGGGGGAGUAUUACGGGGCCAGGGACGUUGGAGGGGUUUCCACGUGACUCCACCUCGAACACCGCUACAGAGCGUAUCUGGCUGGGUUGGGCACACACCGUCGCGGCGGCCCCUGAUGGCAUCCACAAAGGUCCAAGACCCUCCUAAGCUCCUAGCCGUAGCAGAACUACGUAUUUCAGCACCCGAACGACUAACAACCCAGCCGGCAUCUGCAGCGUAUAUCCAACGCAAUCAAACUUCACUCUGACAAGUAACUUCCUAUACACAACCACGCCGUCCUUUCGCCCGGACCAGCCCCGCACUCUUUCCGCCCGCUACCUAGCGGUCGCCGGAUCAGCAGAGCCUGCGGACUCUUCGGAGGCUGGUCUUCGUUGUGCUGCCCAAGGCGGAAGUUUACUUCCAGUAACUUCUACCUUCUCUCUUUAUAUCCUCCUCCAUGGCGUGGCUCGCCCAACCAUCGCUCGCCACGUCACUCACACAGCUGUGCCUUGUUUCAGCGAGUGCGGGGAUUCCCGGGGAACCCGGAAGUGCCGGUGUCUGUACAAACCGGUCCGGGCGGAACCUCUUCACUCUCCUUUUGGUUCCGCCCCGCAUAGUCACUUCGUGACAACUGUUUGCGUUUUUUUUUCUCCUCAAUGUUCAAUACCCUUUUGCCAUUAAGCACACAGUGACUUUAAUUUAUAAAAUAUAUGCUUAAGUUUUAAUACCUGUACAAAACAAAUGUACAAUCAACUUGUGUAAAUUGUCAUUCUAUUUAAUAGAUUGUUCAUGAAUUGUCUUUAAAUGCAUUGUGAUUUCGGUAACACUUUACAAUAAGGUUCAUUAGUUAACAUUAGUUAAUGUAUUAACUAACUUGAACAAACCAUGAGCAAUACAUUUGUUACAGUAUUUAUUCAUCUUUGUUAAUGUUAGUUAAUUCAAAUUUAAGCUUUAAUUGCUUGUUCAUGUUAGUUCAGAGUGCAUUAACUAAUGUUAACAAGAUUUUAAUAAAGUAUAAGUAAUUGUUGAAAUUAACAUUAACAAAGAUUAAUAAAGGCUGUAUAAGUGCAGUUCAUUAUUAGUUCAUGUUAACUAAUGUAGCUAACUAAUGUUAACUAAUGAACCUUAUUGUAAAGUGUUACCGUGAUUUCUUUUCAUCAUUUCAGACACAUGUAAGUUACUAAAAAUUAGUACUGCAUAUACUGUACAGUAUCUAUGCGUAAGGGAAAUAACUUGAACAAAAUUUUUAAUGUAUAAUGUAAUUAAGAGUUUAGCUGUUUAAUACAGAGAUGCAAUUUAUAUAUAUAUAUAUAUAAUUUAUGUAUAAACGUAUGUAUGUUUAUUAAAAAGUGAAAAUGCUUAAUGGAAAUAAUUAAAUAACUAAAUGGUUGAAUGUAAUGAGACAUUUUAAAUGUAAACUAAAGUUUUGCUGUCUAAUACAGAAUAAAGAGAUGUGAUUUUAAGUAAUUUUUAUAGAUUUAUAUUUCUGUAUAAUAAAAUUAAUAAAUAAUAAACUUUUAUAAUUUUCUGGA